rnacentral:rRNA from 1 species
UACGUAGGGUGCGAGCGUUAAUCGGAAUUACUGGGCGUAAAGCGUGCGCAGGCGGUUUUGUAAGCCAGAUGUGAAAGCCCCGGGCUUAACCUGGGAAUGGCAUUUGGGACUGCAAGGCUUGAGUGCGGCAGAGGAGACUGGAAUUCCUGGUGUAGCAGUGAAAUGCGUAGAUAUCAGGAGGAAUACCGGUGGCGAAGGCGGGUCUCUGGGCCGAUACUGACGCUGAGGAGCGAAAGCGUGGGGAGCAAACAGG